rnacentral:rRNA from 1 species
GAAAACUCCGGUGGUACGGGAUGAGCCCGCGUCCGAUUAGCCAGUUGGCGGGGUAACGGCCCACCAAAGCGACGAUCGGUAGCCGGCCUGAGAGGGUGGACGGCCACAUUGGGACUGAGACACGGCCCAAACUCCUACGGGAGGCAGCAGUGGGGAAUAUUGCACAAUGGGGGAAACCCUGAUGCAGCGACGCCGCGUGAGUGAAGAAGCGCCUCGGCGCGUAAAGCUCUGUCAGCAGGAACGAUAAUGACGGUACCUGAAGAAGAAGCCCCGGCUAACUACGUGCCAGCAGCCGCGGUAAUACGUAGGGGGCAAGCGUUAUCCGGAUUUACUGGGUGUAAAGGGAGCGUAGACGGCGGGGCAAGUCUGGAGUGAAAGGCCGGGGCCCAACCCCGGGACCGCUCUGGAAACUGCCCGGCUGGAGUGCGGGAGAGGUAAGCGGAAUUCCUAGUGUAGCGGUGAAAUGCGUAGAUAUUAGGAGGAACACCAGCGGCGAAGGCGGCUUACUGGACCGUGACUGACGUUGAGGCUCGAAAGCGUGGGGAGCAAACAGGAUUAGAUACCCUGGUAGUCCACGCCGUAAACGAUGAUCACUAGGUGUCGGGGGUUAACGGACCCCCG